rnacentral:rRNA from 1 species
UGAGGAAUAUUGGUCAAUGGACGGAAGUCUGAACCAGCCAAGUAGCGUGCAGGAAGACGGCCCUAUGGGUUGUAAACUGCUUUUAUACGGGGAUAAAGUGAGCCACGUGUGGCUUAUUGCAGGUACCGUAUGAAUAAGGACCGGCUAAUUCCGUGCCAGCAGCCGCGGUAAUACGGAAGGUCCGGGCGUUAUCCGGAUUUAUUGGGUUUAAAGGGAGCGUAGGCCGUUUGUUAAGCGUGUUGUGAAAUGUCGGGGCUCAACCUGGGCAUUGCAGCGCGAACUGGCAGACUUGAGUGCGCGGGAAGUAGGCGGAAUUCGUCGUGUAGCGGUGAAAUGCUUAGAUAUGACGAAGAACUCCGAUUGCGAAGGCAGCCUGCUGUAGCGUAACUGACGCUGAAGC